AUGUAGUCUUGUCACUCUCCUGCGUGUUCAGUCCAGGGAAGCAGGUGAUGGAUGAGCUCCCCAUGGAGCUCAGCACAAGGAAGCUGCACAGCCCUGUCCUCUAAGCCUUUGUCAGCUCACACACCAUCAUAAAACCCUUCUUGCCAAACAGAUGUUUGCAAAUGAGGCUGUAAACCCUCACCAUUUCAUUUUUUUUCUUAAACCACGGUGAGUGCUGGAAUAAAGGUGGAUAUUUUUUGAAGUCUGAGUUCUCCAGUGUUCACCCAGUGGGGGCAAACCCUUAACAAAUGGUUCCUUAAGCUCCCUCAGGCUCCAGUGAGGGCCUGCAGUGUGGGAGGAUUCCAGGGCUCUCUGUGACCUGUCAGACACCACCCACGAGCUGUUUGGGCAGUAUUCAACCUGCAGAUUUGUUUUCAAAGCCAGCUUUACAACAUGAGAUCCUCACAUUCAGCACCUGGAAUUCCAAAGGGAUGGCAGUGGCAUUAAGCACUUCAGUGGGGCAGGCAAGGCUGUGUUCCCUAAGGAAGGUCCCUGUCUGCUCUGAGGGAAAGGCUCCAGACAGAGCUAAAUGUGUGGCACACCAGAGUGCAUCUGAAAGAAGAGACAGAUGAUAAUAAGAAGCUGUUAAGAGCCGCUCACUCCGCUGGCUCUGUUAGUUCAGCUUGCUUGCACAGAAAGAAUUUCCCUGCACGUGUGAACAUGAGCACAGAUCAAUAAAGGGAAAUAUCCAGGCUGAUCCUUUCUCAGCCUGAACUCCUCCAAACAAGAUGCACACACAGCCCUUGUGGAAGGCUGGAGACAGGAGCUGUGUGUGAGGAACCACAGAAAAGGUGAUGCUGUUCUCCCUGCACAGAACAUCUCCAGAACCAGCUGGGAGCACUCGUUCCUCCCUUAGCUGAUGUCACAAAGGUAUCUGGAACAUUUAACUCUCAUUUUCCUGUCUCCCACACCUACAGCCAAGGUCUGCUUGGCUACUCACCUUGUCAGAGAUCAUAAGAGAUCUAAUUUGCCUUAAAAA